ACUAAUAGAAGAGUUUCCUCUGACGUGUCGAUGAGCUGGAAGCACACCGACGACAAAACCUUAUAGGAUUCAUGAUUAGUUUUGGGGAGACAGUUGACGAAAUCCAAAUCGAUUCGUGGUGUGGGCGUUGACUAAGUGAGUUUUCUAUUUCUUUGAUUGCGAAAUUUGUUAUUUUUGUGUUGAUAAAGCUUGCGAGAUUUUUGGGAUGCAGAAAGGAAGUAAAGAUUUUGGAGUGUUUGUUUGUUAUUGGUAAAUUGUUUGUCGCAACAAUGGGGAAUUUGUAAGUAUUUGAAUAAUUUGUUUGUUGUUUUGAAAAUUGAUUAAACUUGUGGGGAUUAUCAUGAGUGGUUGUUUUGUUGUGUGAGGAUCAAUUAUUGGAAAAUAGAUUGUUGAAUAAGAUUUAACGGUUUAAUGAGGAAAAUUGUUAAAACUGAAAUUUUUUUGUUAACAAAAUAGUAAGCUUUCUCGGUCCCUUCUUUGAUCUGUCUACCUUUCUUCUCUCCAUGAUCUUCUUGUUAACCUUCUUUGAUUUGGAAAAAGAGAAAACGUGAUUAGUUGAAUAUUUGAUUCUUUGUUUUAAAUAAACGAUCUGGUUGAUUUGAAUAACAAAUGGUUUGUACUUUUGUUUCGUACUUUAAAAUUGCAAUCGGGAGAAAUCGGAAAGGGGGAAAAACUUUUGUUUUCAACUUCAAAACUGCAAUCAGGAGGAAUCUCAACUAAAAACAUCAACAUGAAGCCAAAAUUCAAAGCCAAAGCCAGAUAGAAAGGAAAACAACUUACCAAGCCAUGGGACUUUGACGAAGAAAAAUCCAGAAAAGCAGAAUCGUUAAUCCCCACAGAGAUGAUCGGGAAGAUGACAACAACGUUUUGUCCAGCUUUUUGAUUUAAUGGGCUGAUAUCAAUUGAUUUAAUGGGCUUAUAUAAAGCCCAACGAAUUUGUAAAUUUUUGCUGCUGACGUGGAUAGCUUAGAAUGAAAGAAAACUCUGCUAUUAUAUAUAUGAUUUUGGUUUGAAAUCCUU